rnacentral:misc_RNA from 1 species
AUAUGGCGAAACUGAGUUGCGAGAUUUUCUUGAAUCUUGAUAUUUCUUUCCUUAGGAUCUGCUUGAUUUAUGGUACCUGUGUAGGGAAUUUUGUUUGUUUGUUUGUUCUGUUUUAAAUUUGUGAGGUGGAAAGUGUGUGCUUGAGAUUGAAUUAGGUGAUCUUUAGAUUUGUUCUAUUUUUUAUGAUCACUGCCAGAUGGGUUGCAGAUAGUGUUACUAUCAUUAACCUAUAUUGCUCCAUACCUCCAUUAUUAUGUGAUUCAUUUUUGUGCUUUUGUGGAAACCUUACUGAUGUACCAAUUAAGUUAUUUUUCCCACUCCAUUAAUCUCAAAAUGUGAAGGAUUUGAUCAAUCUGGAGCCUAGAGAAAAUUUUUAAAAUUUUUUAACCUUGAGAAUUCGUUUCUGGGAAAUACCAUCUACUAGAUGACUUUUGUUUCCUGAAUCUGAACAACUUGAAACUACAUUCAAGUACAAGAAUAGACAUCAAUGACUCUUGUGAAUACUUGUCUUACAUUGAGAAAAUAUAAAGAUGGAAGGGUAAAUAUGAGUAAUUGGG